AUUAAGUUAUACUGUAGGACGACGGUAGUAACACUAAUUUUGUAAUUAUUAAUCGCGUUGAAUCUGCGACAUCAGAUGUGGGAUCGAUACAACAAUCAUCCUGCGUGCCUACCGCAAUGCCUGCUACAGGAAAUAGUGAAUAUUCCACACCUGGUUAUGAAAGAAAUGGAGCGGCAGGCCCAUCGACGACAAAAGACGACGGACCCAACACGUUUACGCCUGAAUUAUGGGCGAUUGUCAAUUUACCGCAACUCAGUGGUGUGAAGAGAUUGAAUACCACAUGAAGAACAAUUCGUGGUCGGAUUACGAAGUUAGGAAUGCUCCCUUGAGUCACUUGCAGGGACGUGCCAAGAAGUGGGCAGUACGUUCGUACCCGUUGUGUAAAGAGGAAAGGGAAACUUACUCUUCAGUUUGUUGGAACUAGGAGGUUUCACGACUUGUAUCGUUAUAUGGUGAACUAUACGAGUAACCACGCGGUGACCUACGUUGAAUAUUCCACCAACAAAAUGGCGCUGAUUGACCAGCUGGAGACGGGUUGGGGUGAGUCCAAUAAAAUUAAGGUCAUGAUCGCUGGCAUCACGAAUGUUCAGGUACCUAGGACCAAAGAAGAAUGAAAGAACAGAAUUUGCCACAAGAUGGCAGUUUCCUUUAUGUGUCGGAGCUUUAGAUAGCACAUACUGAUUAAGUGUCCUGCAGGAAAAGGUCAGAAUUUUGCUAACUAUCCAAAAUGCAUUCAGUAUUGUAAUUUUAGGUUGCGUUGAUUAUGACUUUUGUUUUAUAUAUGUUAACAUUGGAGCAAAGGGAAGAAACUCCGAUGAUUUUAUAUUUAAAAAAACUUUUAAAAAAUUAAAAAAAGGUAUCGAGGAAAAUACACUGGACUUCAUUGGAGAUGAAGCUUUUCCUCUAAAGUCGUACCUUACCUUUUACCAAAAUAGCAAAAAAAAUGUAAUUAUAGCCUAUGCCGAUGCAGGAGAAUAGGUCGCGAAUAGGACAAAAAGAUGUUUAUUAUGGAAACAGUGUAAUUGAGAUUAGUUCUGUUUUUUCGUAGGCUGAGUUACGAAGGAAG